GAUGAACGCUGGCGGCGUGCCUAAUACAUGCAAGUCGAGCGAACAGACGAGGAGCUUGCUCCUCUGACGUUAGCGGCGGACGGGUGAGUAACACGUGGAUAACCUACCUAUAAGACUGGGAUAACUUCGGGAAACCGGAGCUAAUACCGGAUAAUAUAUUGAACCGCAUGGUUCAAUAGUGAAAGACGGUUUUGCUGUCACUUAUAGAUGGAUCCGCGCCGCAUUAGCUAGUUGGUAAGGUAACGGCUUACCAAGGCAACGAUGCGUAGCCGACCUGAGAGGGUGAUCGGCCACACUGGAACUGAGACACGGUCCAGACUCCUACGGGAGGCAGCAGUAGGGAAUCUUCCGCAAUGGGCGAAAGCCUGACGGAGCAACGCCGCGUGAGUGAUGAAGGUCUUCGGAUCGUAAAACUCUGUUAUUAGGGAAGAACAAAUGUGUAAGUAACUAUGCACGUCGUGACGGUACCUAAUCAGAAAGCCACGGCUAACUACG
rnacentral:rRNA from 1 species